GACGAACGCUGGCGGCGUGCUUAACACAUGCAAGUCGAACGAUGAAGCCUAGCUUGCUGGGUGGAUUAGUGGCGAACGGGUGAGUAACACGUGAGCAAUCUGCCCUUGACUCUGGGAUAAGCGCUGGAAACGGUGUCUAAUACCGGAUAUGACCUUCCUCGGCAUCGGGUGUUGGUGGAAAGAUUUUUUGGUCAGGGAUGAGCUCGCGGCCUAUCAGCUUGUUGGUGAGGUAAUGGCUCACCAAGGCGACGACGGGUAGCCGGCCUGAGAGGGUGACCGGCCACACUGGGACUGAGACACGGCCCAGAUUCCUACGGGAGGCAGCAGUGGGGAAUAUUGCACAAUGGGCGCAAGCCUGAUGCAGCAACGCCGCGUGGGGGAUGACGGCCUUCGGGUUGUAAACCUCUUUUAGUAGGGAAGAAGCGUAAGUGACGGUACCUGCAGAAAAAGCACCGGCUAACUACGUGCCAGCAGCCGCGGUAAUACGUAGGGUGCAAGCGUUGUCCGGAAUUAUUGGGCGUAAAGAGCUCGUAGGCGGUUUGUCGCGUCUGCUGUGAAAUCCCGAGGCUCAACCUCGGGUCUGCAGUGGGUACGGGCAGACUAGAGUGCGGUAGGGGAGAUUGGAAUUCCUGGUGUAGCGGUGGAAUGCGCAGAUAUCAGGAGGAACACCGAUGGCGAAGGCAGAUCUCUGGGCCGUAACUGACGCUGAGGAGCGAAAGCGUGGGGAGCGAACAGGAUUAGAUACCCUGGUAGUCCACGCCGUAAACGUUGGGAACUAGAUGUGGGGGCCAUUCCACGGUCUCCGUGUCGCAGCUAACGCAUUAAGUUCCCCGCCUGGGGAGUACGGCCGCAAGGCUAAAACUCAAAGGAAUUGACGGGGGCCCGCACAAGCGGCGGAGCAUGCGGAUUAAUUCGAUGCAACGCGAAGAACCUUACCAAGGCUUGACAUAUGCCGGAAACGGCCAGAGAUGGUCGCCCCGCAAGGUCGGUAUACAGGUGGUGCAUGGUUGUCGUCAGCUCGUGUCGUGAGAUGUUGGGUUAAGUCCCGCAACGAGCGCAACCCUCGUCCUAUGUUGCCAGCACGUUAUGGUGGGAACUCAUGGGAUACUGCCGGGGUCAACUCGGAGGAAGGUGGGGAUGACGUCAAAUCAUCAUGCCCCUUAUGUCUUGGGCUUCACGCAUGCUACAAUGGCCGGUACAAAGGGUUGCGAUGCCGUAAGGUGGAGCGAAUCCCAAAAAGCCGGUCUCAGUUCGGAUUGAGGUCUGCAACUCGACCUCAUGAAGUCNGAGUCGCUAGUAAUCGCAGAUCAGCAACGCUGCGGUGAAUACGUUCCCGGGCCUUGUACACACCGCCCGUCAAGUCAUG
rnacentral:rRNA from 2 species